ACAAGACGCUGAUCAAGACGCUGAUCAAGACACUUCUUGGAAAAGGUCCAGACUCAAUUGUGGUAUAACACGUGUUUUGUGUACUUUUCAAGAGAUCCUGAACAUUUUGUGAAAUACGAGAAGGACGUCGCUGAAAUGAGGGAGGACAAACCCAGCCUUCUGCUCUCCUUCCACACUGAACCCAAACAAGAGUCACUGGAUUCUGAUUGUGACAGUAAAGCUCAGUGUUCAUUGGUGGAUUCAGAGAUGACGUCAGUGAAGCUGGAAGACUGCAGUCAAACACUGGGACUGAAUGAUAUUAAAUGUGAAGAGAAGGAGGAGGAGAUUGGAGAUUUAAGUAAUCAAGAUGACACAGACUGAGCCGUAAGCAAUGAAAACAUCUGACACAUUGGAAUUGUGAUAUAGUGAAAUACUCUGUAAACUAUUGUUGGAAACUGACUUGCCAAGACUAUUGUUUGUGAACAUGAAAUCUGUGUAGUGGUUGAAAAUUCUUUUAUUACUUCAAUGUAAGUGUAUGUAAAUGUCCGACUUCAACUGUUUGUCUGUUUAUGCCAAAAAGUCUGUGAUGAGAUGGAUGCAUCAAAGAAUGUGUUCAAAGAUGUAUCAAAAUCAACUCCAC
rnacentral:lncRNA from 1 species